rnacentral:rRNA from 1 species
UGAGUACAACGUGGGUAACUUGCCUUCGAGUGGGGAAUAACCCUCCGAAAGGAGGGCUAAUACCGCAUAAUAUCCGACCCACACAAGUGGGAUGGAUCAAAGGUGGCCUCUGUUUCAUGCUACCGCUUGAAGAUGGGCCCGCGCCCCAUUAGCUAGUUGGUGAGUGUAACGGCUCACCAAGGCUGCGAUGGGUAGCCGACCUGAGAGGGUGAUCGGCCACACUGGGACUGAGACACGGCCCAGACUCCUACGGGAGGCAGCAGUGAGGAAUUUUCCGCAAUGGGCGAAAGCCUGACGGAGCGACGCCGCGUGCGUGAUGAAGGCCUUCGGGUCGUAAAUCGCUGUCGGAGAGGGCGAACUGUUUAUGUGCUAAUACCACAUAGACUUUGACGGUACUCUCCAAGGAAGCCCCGGCUAACUCCGUGCCAGCAGCCGCGGUAAUAC